rnacentral:rRNA from 1 species
UAGAGUUUGAUUAUGGCUCAGGAUGAACGCUGGCGGCGUGCUUACACAUGCAAGUCGAAUGCAGUUUACUACAUGGCGGACGGGUGAGUAAUGCGUGAGCAACCUGCCCAUAUCUGGGGGAUAACAGUUGGAAACGACUGAUAAUACCGCAUAAUAUGGUUAGAAGGCAUCUUCUUUCCAUCAAAGAUUUAUCGGAUAUGGAUGGGCUCGCGUCUGAUUAGGCUGUUGGUGAGGUAACGGCUCACCAAACCGACGAUCAGUAGCCGACCUGAGAGGGUGAUCGGCCACAUUGGAACUGAGACACGGUCCAAACUCCUACGGGAGGCAGCAGUGGGGAAUAUUGGGCAAUGGAGGAAACUCUGACCCAGCAACGCCGCGUGAAUGAUGAAGGUCUUCGGAUUGUAAAGUUCUUUUCUAAGGGAAGAAGAAAGUGACGGUACCUUAGGAAUAAGCCUCGGCUAACUACGUGCCAGCAGCCGCGGUAAUACGUAGGAGGCAAGCGUUAUCCGGAAUGACUGGGCGUAAAGGGUGCGUAGGUGGUUCAGCAAGUUAGUAGCGUAACUCCGGAGCUCAACUUCGGCACUACUACUAAAACUGUUGGACUUGAGUGCAGGAGGGGCAACUGGAAUUCCUAGUGUAGCGGUGGAAUGCGUAGAUAUUANGAAGAACACCGGUGGCGAAAGCGAGUUGCUGGACUGUAACUGACACUGAAGCACGAAAGCGUGGGGAGCAAACGGGAUUAGAUACCCUGGUAGUCCACGCCGUAAAACAUAAAUACUAAGU